UACGAAGGGGGCUAGCGUUGCUCGGAAUUACUGGGCGUAAAGCGCACGUAGGCGGAUUUGUAAGUCAGGGGUGAAAUCCCGGGGCUCAACCUCGGAACUGCCUUUGAUACUGCAAAUCUCGAGUCCGGAAGAGGUGAGUGGAAUUCCUAGUGUAGAGGUGAAAUUCGUAGAUAUUAGGAAGAACACCAGUGGCGAAGGCGGCUCACUGGUCCGGUACUGACGCUGAGGCGCGAAAGCGUGGGGAGCAAACAGG
rnacentral:rRNA from 1 species